rnacentral:lncRNA from 1 species
AUAACAAUCAUAUUAAAUUUGCCUAUCUAAAAAUACUCCUUAAAAUGUCGAAAGUAAUAAUAGAUUCUUUACCGAAAUCGUGAUGUUUUCUUCUUCACUGUUUUCCUUUCUUUCUCUUCUUCUCUAACUAUUUUACUCUUCCUCUCUCUCUCUAAAUCUUGAAAAAUGGAAGAAAUGAACGUGUGGAGAGGAAGGGGAGGGGAAGGGUAAUUUAUAAAAUUUCAGAACCGUUAGAUUCGCAUCAAGUGGCGAAAUAUGGUAAUG